rnacentral:piRNA from 1 species
UGCCAGCCGUGACCACCGGGAUGAUGGAC